AGAGUUUGAUCCUGGCUCAGAUUGAACGCUGGCGGCACGCCUAACACAUGCAAGUCGAGCGGUAGCAUGGUUAGUAGCAAUACUAACUGAUGACGAGCGGCGGACGGGUGAGGAACACGUAGGAACCUGCCCUUUAGCGGGGGACAACCAAGGGAAACUUUGGCUAAUACCGCGUAAUCUCGAGAGAGGAAAGCUGCCUGUUAAAGGGUGGCGCUAAAGGAGGGGCCUGCGUCCGAUUAGCUAGUUGGUGAGGUAAUAGCUCACCAAGGCGAUGAUCGGUAACUGGUCUGAGAGGACGACCAGUCACACUGGGACUGAGACACGGCCCAGACUCCUACGGGAGGCAGCAGUGGGGAAUAUUGGACAAUGGGGGCAACCCUGAUCCAGCGAUGCCGCGUGGGUGAAGAAGGCCUUCGGGUUGUAAAGCCCUUUAGGUUGGGAAGAAGGGUGUGUACUGAAUAAGUGCAUGCUUUGACGGUACCAACAGAAUAAGCACCGGCAAACUCUGUGCCAGCAGCCGCGGUAAUACAGAGGGUGCGAGCGUUAAUCGGAUUUACUGGGCGUAAAGGGCGCGUAGGCGGUUGUGUGAGUGUGAUGUGAAAGCCCCGGGCUUAACCUGGGAAGUGCAUCGCAAACGACACGACUGGAGUAUAAGAGAGGGUGGCGGAAUUUCCGGUGUAGCGGUGAAAUGCGUAGAGAUCGGAAGGAACGUCAAUGGCGAAGGCAGCCACCUGGCUUAAUACUGACGCUGAGGCGCGAAAGCGUGGGGAUCAAACAGGAUUAGAUACCCUCGUAGUCC
rnacentral:rRNA from 1 species